rnacentral:rRNA from 1 species
UACGGAGGGAGCUAGCGUUGUUCGGAAUUACUGGGCGUAAAGCGCGCGUAGGCGGCCUUGCAAGUUAGAGGUGAAAGCCCGGAGCUCAACUCCGGAACUGCCUUUAAAACUGCAUAGCUUGAAUCCGGGAGAGGUGAGUGGAAUUCCGAGUGUAGAGGUGAAAUUCGUAGAGAUCCGGAAGAACACCGGUGGCGAAGGCGGCCCGCUGGGCAGAGACUGACGCUGAGGCGCGACAGCGUGGGGAGCAAACAGG